CCUACGGGUGGCAGCAGUGAGGAAUAUUGGUCAAUGGGCGCGAGCCUGAACCAGCCAAGUCGCGUGAGGGAAGACGGUCCUAUGGAUUGUAAACCUCUUUUGUCGGGGAGCAAAAGACGCCACGCGAGGCGUUCCGAGAGUACCCGAAGUAAAAGCAUCGGCAAACUCCGUUCCAGCAGCAGCGGUAAUACGGAGGAUACGAGCGGUGUCCGGAUUUAUUGGGUUAAACGGGUGCGCAGGGGGAAGAUCAAGUCAGCGGUAAAAUUGAGAGGCUCAACCUCUUCGAGCCGUUGAAACUGGUUUUCUUGAGUGAAUGAGAGGUAUGCGGAAUGCGUGGUGUAGCGGUGAAAUGCAUAGAUAUCACGCAGAACUCCGAUUGCGAAGGCAGCAUACCGGCGCUCAACUGACGCUGAUGCACGAAAGUGUGGGUAUCGAACAGGAUUAGAUACCCUAGUAGUC
rnacentral:rRNA from 1 species